GGCGCGUGCGGCGGCGGACAUGGCCGCAGAUAGUAAGGCGGGGGACGCUGGGUCGAAGGAGGACGACGUGAUGCUGCGGGUGAAGGAGGCGGACCAGAUGACGGGGCAGGCGUUCAACGACGUCGGCCCCAUGGGCGAAGAGGGCACUGGCAUGCCACGGCGACGGCGCUAGCUACCAACCUGCGUUCCAUGGAGACGCCGUUCUAGCUCUGAUGGCCGCUGGAUCGGAGCUGGCUGACCUGGCCGACGUUGUGCUUCAUGUAAAAGUACAAACAAAGGUAUAAAAGAACUACCAUAAAUAAAGAGACGCGACGGAUCUCCUCUUCUCCCUGAAGUUCAUAUAUACAAUAACACAAACUGCAUACUAUUUUGGUUUUUGCAUUUGCGAUAGUCAAGUGUGUGCAUACAUAAGCAAAAGCAACCAUACCUUGAACAUCAUUUCAAUUUGAACGGCCGCAAGAACUGCCUCACAGAGUCAGUCACCGAUAGGCAGUUAGGCAAGCAGCAACUACGCAUACGGCAUGCGCAACAACGUGCCUCCCUUGGAUCUGUCAGCGGAACGCCUCCAACGGCGGCUAGAGCUCUCCGGGUCUUCAGGCAAGCGCAUGCCAGGUCCAGUCUAGCCUCUUCCGCUGUCCUUCAGGUGAUCGUCGUCCGCUACAUGGUCCACUAGAUCUUCAGGUUUCACCACUGUCUUCAAGGCCGCCUUUGACUUUGUUGGCCGCGCCUCACCGCCUUCUCCCUCCCCGUGCCACGCGGCCACGCCAUUGAGGGGUCUCUUCCUCAGCAACAAGCUACAACGCCACGGUUUACCUCGAGCUGAGGCUCAACUAUGUUCGGCAAGUCAACCUCUCGAUCAACCACUACUACAUCAAGAUCAAGCGCCUCGCUGAUCGAUCAGCUUCGCGACAUCGGCCACCUCAUCCCUGAGCCCAUUACCUUACUAAAUCUGCACUGUGGCCUCAACCCUCGUUACUGCUACGACAAGCUGGUCAUCACCUUUAAGUUCCUGUCACACACCUUCAUUAGUGCACGCUCUUUCCUCAUCUUAGAGGAACUUAGUGCCCAACAAAACGCCAAUGUCAAAGCUAAGCAAGCUCUCGCACCACACAUUAGUUGAGCGGUUCUUCUGACAUCACUCAUGCCACUGAUCGAGGACACAUGAGUGGUGCCAGAAGAAUCGCUCGACCGACCACCAUGUGUGGUGGUGAAAGCUUGUCCGGUUUUGACAUUGGCGUCGUGUUGGGCGCUGAGUUUCUCCAAGAUGAGAAAGAAGCGCACCGUCAUAAAGGUGUACGGUAGGAACUUGGAGGUGAUGACCGGCUUGACGUAGCAGUAAUGAGGGUUGAGGCCGCGAAGGAGAUUCAACACCUAGCUUGGCUCGGUGACGGAUGACCAAUGUCACGAAGCUGAUUGGUGAGGUGCUUGAGCUUGGUGCAGUAGUCGUUGAUCGAGAGGUCACCUUGUUGCGUGGAACACAGUUUUCGGCCUCGAGGUAGACCGCGCGCUGUAGCCCAUUGUUGAGGAAGAGGCCCUCGAUGGCGUGCUCUCAGGAGAAGUUGGUGAGGUGAGGUUCAUGAACAUUGUCAAAGACAGCCUUGGAGAUAGUGGUGAAGAUCUAGUUGACAAUACAGGAGUCGGCCUUGCGCAACUCACUGUCACGCUCCUCGGACAGGGUUUCUACAUUUGGAUUCUUGGAGUUAUCGUGUCAUUAGUCUAGGGUUUAUUCUUUUAACCAUGGGUAUUCUUUGUGGAGCAGUAUGGGCUAAUGAGGCAUGGGGAUCCUAUUGGAAUUGGGAUCAUAAGAAAACUUGGGCAUUUAUUACCUAGACCAUAUUUGCAAUAUAUUUACAUAGUAGAACAAAUCCAAAUUGAAAGGGUACGAAUUCCGCACUUGUAGCUUCGAUAGGAUUUCUUAUAAAUUGGAUUUGCUAUUUUGGUAUCAAUCUGUUAGGAAUAGGUUUACAUAGUUACAGUUCAUUUACAUUAAUUACCAUCUAAAUAAUUACAUAACAUAAAACCUUUGGGGUUUUUUCUUUUUUUUGUUUGAUUUGAGAACCCUUUGAUAAGACGUUCAAGGGGUUCUAAAAAAUUCGAGAUAGAUCUAAUUAGACUUUUUUUACUUUUUUCUUAAUUUUAAUUUUUCCACUCUGGAAUAUAGAGCGGACAGGUUAAAAAAAGUUUAUCUAUGCACAGCUUGAUACCCAUUCUUCAUUUCAUCAAGAUCUUCUAAUGUACACUUUCAGCAGCGUAUGGAUCCCACAUCCCUCCUUAACAUUCAUGCAAACAUGUAUACGUACUCCUUGGUCUGGAAGGGUGAAAUAUCUUUAAAUAUCAUUGUCAUUCAUAUGAACAUGUAUACAACUCCGCUUGUCUGGGUCAGUCUCAAAAUAUGUACAUAUAUUGUUUGUUGAGUGAUUCAUUAAAUAUCCUUAAGUUUGACUAAGUAAAUAUAAAUAUACUCAUUUUCAUGGUAUGUAAGAAAUAUCAUUAGAUUGAUAAUUAGACAAAAACACAUAACCUCACCCCCCGUGUUGUUCCCACACGAGCAAUACGGGAGACCCCCUAAAACCCUAGCGCUGCCCCCUUCUCCCUCUCCCUUCGCACUGCCGUCAGAGCUGGCCGCUAGCAUGGCUGCUUAGCUGGCCGAGAUGGCGACGGCGCGGCUCUUCCUCCCUUGAGUGCGGUAGCGCACACGGCAGUAGGCCAACGGUCCCUCCCCUGUACGACUACAUGGAGCUCGGCGAGAAGGCUUCCACGACUGUGGUGGCUCCGGUUGGUGCUUGAGCUAGCACAGAGGAUGGCCACGGGGCUCCCUUAUCUUCUCUGUGCAUCCCAUCCUCCAGAUCUUGAUGGCGGCAGUAGUGGCGGCCCCGGCCGUCGAUCUGGCCCCAUGUUAACUAGAUCUAGCUUGCCUAGGCCAAGCGAACAGCGUGGUGCUCGUGCAGGCGAUUGGGGGAUGCGACAAGGCUGCCUCUUCUUUUCCUUGGCCUGUAUCCUCCCAUCACGGCCUUGGUUGCUGUGUGGCCGGGGUCGGUAGCGACCAGAGCAGUGGACGGCCAAACCUUCCUGGCUGCGGCUACGAUGGCAAUUGUCGACGAAAUAUGGUCGGCAGUCUACCUAGAGGUAUACCCAAAGUAGUAGAUUAGGUGGAGGUGCGUGAGACAAUAAACUAGAUGGUGAUGGAAGACGAAUAGAAGAGUUUUUAUCCAGGUUCGGCCGUCGUGAGGGCAUAAUACCUACGUCCUGCGUCUGGUUUGUAUUAUUGUAUGAUACAAGAUGAGAUCUAUUUAACCUGUCUUCUAGGGAACCUCUGCCUCUCUUUAUAUACUGUAAAGGAACAGAGUUAUAAGUGAAGUAUUCUAUUUGGUACAAUAUCUUCUUGUAGCCUUGCAGUGCACGCCAACCAGUGUCGUGCGCCGCAUGUCUUCAUCUUGUGGCCUGGGCCACCUCCGAUGGUGUGGCCUAUCUCGAACCAUGAGGGUAUAGAGGUUUAUACCCUCACAGUAGCCGGAUGGGCUUGCGUACCCGUGGUGGACGUUGGUGGUGUGGCGUACCGACUAAGUAUGACGCCCACAAAGAUAGUGAAGAGUGAGGCAACAACUUACCAUGGGGCUCUGCUAGGGUCUGCAACCGCUAGAGGCAAGGCACGAGUUCGCAUGAUUGGAAGUCGGAGCUGCUCUCCAUGUGUUUGAGUUUGGUAACGAUGACUGAUUGCGGCUCUUUGCUUCGGCCCAUCAGUGGGUGCCUUGUGGGUGGCUUGUCAUGGGAAGUCGGAGCUACUUGUAGCUUUGCUUCCAUGCUCGACAAUAAUGACACAUGGCAAUGUGUCGUGUUUGUGCUUAGUCGUAUCGCAUGAGCUGGUUAGCGCGCAGAAGUCUUUGGCAUCUCAUCGGGCUAACCUUCUUAUAAAUAAAGUUCAUUAAUCUUUAAUUGAGCGGUAGAGCUCCUAACUUGUUUUAAAAAAAAUUAGUAAUUAAGCCAAAUUUAAUAAUAAUUUUAUGCAGAGAUAAAAUUUUUGAUCCUAUUAUAUACUUGGUCAAUGAUAGAAAUAUUUGAUACUUAUUUUGGGACAGAGAAUGUAGUGUAAAAAAUUGUUACAGUUCUUUAUUUUUUACUAGCAAAAUAUGCCCGUGCGUUGCAACGGAAGGAAAAAAGCUUUUAAACCUUAAUGGAAAGGGACCACUGUAAUGAUAUAAUUUCUAUUUAUAUAUAUUCUUUCUAUAAAACUUGAAAUUUAUAAUUUAUUUUACACUAACUUUGAUAUCCAUAAUAUAACUUAGUGAGCAUAUCUAAGAGUCUUUACAAAUCUCACUCUCUAAAUCAUCAUUUAGAGAACUGUUUCUAUUAAAAACACUUUCUAUAUUUCUUCACUCUCGAACAGCUUUUCUAUCUCUCAUGCGCACUCUAGAGUCAUUCUCGUCUUCUAUUUUUGGCUAGCAAAAAUUCUGGAAUAAAUGCCUAUACUUGCAUAACCAUUUAGACAGAGUCUCUUGGAGUUGCUCUUAAUAUGACAAUAUCUUAUUAAAUUUGUAUCAAAUUAAAAUAUAACCUUGAGAGACUCUUUUGGUGUCUUGUUCUAAGACAAAAAAUAGAUAUAAUUAAAUAUCGAGGUUUGUAACUUUUUUAGACCCAUAAAAUGUUUAAUUGUAGUUCACAAGAAGUUAUUUGCCGACGUGUCAAGAAUUGGUUUGUGCAAUGAUGAUUAUGACGAGAGUUCUCUCUUGAUUUUUUACAUGACAGUCAUCAUCGUUGAUUCUAGAAAUACAUUUAUUUAGACUGGAUUAGACAACAAACCACAACAAACUGAUCAAGAUUUAGUUCAUGGACUACUGGUUGAUUUAGAUUUUAAUGAAAACAAAUUAUUGUAAACAAUACUGCAUCAACAAUUUAGUGACAAAUUUUUCUGUGGGGAUAAUUAAUAAUGACCUUGUUUAUUAUUUUUUUGACAUUUAUAUCUAUACCUAAUACUAAAGAGGCUAUAUCUCUAUCUAAUACUAAAGAGGCAAGAACUAUUUUGGAUGAUCUAAAAUCUAGAUUUGGCAGCCUAGAUACUACAUAGAGAUAUGAUACUUCACCUUGUGUGACACAGAAAAAGGAAUCCUAAUUUUUUUUCUUAGGUGGGGUAUGAUUACAUAAGGUAAACAUGAUAUGAUAAGCAAGGGAGAUCAGACAAAAAAAUAUCAGACUAAAAAAUUAGCUAAAAUUUUGUCUAUUUAACAUCUUAGUGAUAGAAAUAUUUAUCUAUUGAUAGAAUUAUGUAUUAGAAAAGAAAAGACAAAAAACACAAAAAGGAGGCAUGGGACACCAUAAUUUAGGAGCAGGAGUAGCACUUGAUAUGUUACAUAUGGAACACUACCGAACUAUAAACGGGAGAAAAAAACGGAAGAAGAGACGGAAACGAAAAAGGAAGCGGUGGAGCCUGAGCUGGUGGUGUCCGAGCUCAAAAUGGCAAUGGGUACCCGAAACCCGAGUACCCGACGGGUUUUACCCGAUAAGAAUGCGGGUAUGGAAUAGAUUUUGUACCCGCGGGUACGUUAUUGGGUGAAAUCCUUUACCCAUCGGGUAUGGCGGGUACGGGUGUGGAAUAGUAGUACCCAUACCCGCGUACCCGUGGGUAAGAAAUACCCGCAAAAUGAGUAAGCAACCUAAGCAAUUUAGCCCAUAUAGCCCAUGAACUGAUUGGCUGAACGUGGGAAGCGUUGAGCGGUUGGUGUGCUAUUAGUGCUGCUAUUAAUUUGCUGGAAGUUGUUAUGUUUAAUUUCCUAGAAGUUGAGAUAUUUAACUUGCUAAAAGUUGUUAUAUUUCUAUUGAACUCGGGUAUAUUUUCGGGUAUGGAAUACCCGUCGGGUAAGAAUUACCCAUCGGGUGCGGGUACGGAAUGAAUUUCUUACCCGUCUGCUUUCGCGGGUAACCCGAUGGAAUAGUUUUUUGAUCUGGCGGGUGCGGGUACGGGUGGCCAGUACCCACCGGGUAUGUACCCGUUGCCAUUCCUAGUCCGAGCAGGUAGCAGCGUAGCGGGAGGCAGCAGGAGACAGACGAAAAUAAUUUCAGACCAAAAAAUAAGCAGAAAUUUUACCUCUUUAGUAUUAGAGAAGAUAUAGAUAUAGAUAUAGAUAUAGAUAUAGAUAUAGAUAUAGAUAUAAAAGAUCUUAAAUGUACAAUUUGAGGUGUACGGAUGCAAGAUUCAUCAAUGUCGAUCUCUCAUAUAAUUGGAACUUGGCGAACUGGCAUAGAAAACAAGGAGACGGGAUCUUAGUGGUUUUUUUAUGACAAUCUGGGGUGUCGUGGCUUUGUUCAAGGUUACUCUUUAUUGUUUUUUUUGUGCUUCUUAAAAUCCAAAAUAGUUCAUUUUCAACAUGCGGGGCGAGGUUUUUCUAAAUAGACGGUUAGGGAUCGCUCCACUGACCGCACCGGAUUCGCCCGCGUCAAGAGGGAUACUCGACGCCCUGCGUACUGGGACUUUGUCGUCGAGCGAGGUGGAGGGCCUAAACACGCUGUUCCCAGCGUUUAACAGGCGCGCGCGUGAUCUCUUCCAGAAGGACUCGUAGGAUGCAACGUUGAGUGUAUUAUGGUUGACCCAUUUAUGUAAUAUCGGCCCACAGAACUCUUUGCUAGGUCGGUUCAGCUAGUGACCACCUAGCGCGCUUGUUGCGCGUUGAUUGUAUUAUAAACUCUUUUUUCUUAAUAGAAUGAUACGCAGAUGUCCUGCGUAUUCGAGAAAAAAAAACAUGUUUUAUAUUUUUCCACUGCUUCAGUUUAGAUAUACGUCGUUUUACGUACGCGGUGGAAGGGAUGGGGUUGAGCACACCAUGCCGGCAUGCGUGGGUACGUACGUGUCAGGUCGCCUCACACGCGUUGCGCAGCGCGAUACCCCGGGCUUCACCGCCUGCCACGUCACCCUCUGAUGGCCAUCGUUUUUAUUGCCCGCCUCGCGCUAUCGUGCUCCGGCAUCUCACCCAAAGCAUCAACCAGAAGCUUGCACAACCCCCCCGAGAUCGAGUCCGGUGCGCGUGUGUGUCAUGGCGUCCAUGCAGCAGAAGAGCCGCGAGCGCGAGGAGCGCGCGCGGUCCGCGGCGCAGAAGGCGGCCGACGAGCUCGCCGCGUCAAGGCGGGAGGAGGUCCAGCAGGUCCACGAGGAGGCCACCACGCCCAUCAGCCCCCGCGGCGGCGGCAUCCUGAGCAGCGUGCAGGAGAAGGCGGCGGCGGCGAUAGAGCGCGCCAAGGAGUACGCGGUGGAGAAGAAAGAGGGCGCGCGGCAGGCGCUCGCGGGCGACGCCGUGGGGAGGAAGGGCGAGACGGACGAGUCGGCGUGGCAGCAGGGGCAGGACGUGCGGCGGCGCGCCGCCGAGAAGGCCCAGGAGGAGGCGCGGCGGCGCGUGCGCGAGCCAUCCGAGGAGGAGAAGUACGUACACGCUAGUACUCAUCCGUUUCUUCUACCGCAUCUGCAAUUCUGCAUGCAUGCAUGCUUGUGUCGCGCGUGACUCUCUUCUGGAUUUUUGGACUGCGUGCGUGCAGGGGCCGGGCGGCGACGGAGAACAUCUACGGGAAGGGGAAGGGCGCGACGGGCGCGUUCGGGGAGAAGAUGGUGAUGCCGACGGACGUGGUAGAGAGGAAACGGGCUGAGGCGGCGGCCGGUGGCGGGGACGGGGAGGCAGCUGCGGCAUCGCCGCCGGCGCCGGGGAUCGGGGACGACGACGUGAUGCUGCGGGUGAAGGAGGCGGACCAGAUGACGGGGCAGGCGUUCAACGACGUCGGCCCCAUGGGCGAAGAGGGCACUGGCAUGCCACGGCGACGGCGCUAAGCUACCAACCUGCCUGCAUAUGCAGAGACCUGAGGAGGCGGCUGGGCGUUUCCAUUCCAAGGCUGAGAGGCGAGGCGAGGCGAGCAAAGUAGCUAGACAAGUACUAGUC
rnacentral:lncRNA from 1 species